CGAAGAACCUUACCUGGUCUUGACAUCCACGGAAGUUUUCAGAGAUGAGAAUGUGCCUUCGGGAACCGUGAGACAGGUGCUGCAUGGCUGUCGUCAGCUCGUGUUGUGAAAUGUUGGGUUAAGUCCCGCAACGAGCGCAACCCUUAUCCUUUGUUGCCAGCGGUCCGGCCGGGAACUCAAAGGAGACUGCCAGUGAUAAACUGGAGGAAGGUGGGGAUGACGUCAAGUCAUCAUGGCCCUUACGACCAGGGCUACACACGUGCUACAAUGGCGCAUACAAAGAGAAGCGACCUCGCGAGAGCAAGCGGACCUCAUAAAGUGCGUCGUAGUCCGGAUUGGAGUCUGCAACUCGACUCCAUGAAGUCGGAAUCGCUAGUAAUCGUGGAUCAGAAUGCCACGGUGAAUACGUUCCCGGGCCUUGUACACACCGCCCGUCACACCAUGGGAGUGGGUUGCAAAAGAAGUAGGUAGCUUAACCUUCGGGAGGGCGCUUACCACUUUGUGAUUCAUGACUGGGGUGAAGUCGUAACAAGGUAACCGUAGGGGAACCUGCGGUUGGAUCAC
rnacentral:rRNA from 2 species